rnacentral:rRNA from 1 species
UACGAAGGGUGCAAACGUUGCUCGGAAUUAUUGGGCGUAAAGCGCACGUAGGCGGCAUAGCAAGUCGGAUGUGAAAUCCCCAGGCUUAACCUGGGAACUGCAUCCGAUACUGGAUGGCUUGAAUCCGGGAGAGGGAUGCAGAAUUCCAGGUGUAGCGGUGAAAUGCGUAGAUAUCUGGAGGAAUACCGGUGGCGAAGGCGGCAUCCUGGACCGGCAUUGACGCUGAGUGAGCGAAAGCCAGGGGAGCAAACGGG